GACAGAGGUGCCGAGCGUUAGGCGGAAUCACUGGGCUUAAAGCGUGUGUAGGCGGAUCGUUAAGUACCUUGUGAAAUCCCACGGCUUAACCGUGGAACUGCUGGGUAUACUGGCGAUCUUGAGGUGCUCAGGGGCGAGCGGAACAGAUGGUGGAGCGGUGAAAUGCGUAGAUAUCAUCUGGAACGCCUGCGGUGAAAACGGCUCGCUGGGAGCAAUCUGACGCUGAGACACGAAAGCCAGGGGAGCGAACGGG
rnacentral:rRNA from 1 species